rnacentral:rRNA from 1 species
AUUGAACGCUGGCGGCAGGCCUAACACAUGCAAGUCGAGCGGAUGAAGGGAGCUUGCUCCUGGAUUCAGCGGCGGACGGGUGAGUAAUGCCUAGGAAUCUGCCUGGUAGUGGGGGAUAACGUCCGGAAAGGGGCGCUAAUACCGCAUACGUCCUGAGGGGGAAAGUGGGGGAUCUUCGGACCUCACGCUAUCAGAUGAGCCUAGGUCGGAUUAGCUAGUUGGUGGGGUAAAGGCCUACAAAGGCGACGAUCCGUAACUGGUCUGAGAGGAUGAUCAGUCACACUGGAACUGAGACACGGUCCAGACUCCUACGGGAGGCAGCAGUGGGGAAUAUUGGACAAUGGGCGAAAGCCUGAUCCAGCCAUGCCGCGUGUGUGAAGAAGGUCUUCGGAUUGUAAAGCACUUUAAGUUGGGAGGAAGGGUAGUAAGUUAAUACCUUGCUGUUUUGACGUUACCAACAGAAUAAGCACCGGCUAACUUCGUG